AAAACAUGACGUGGCCUCUUCUCUCUCUCUCUUUCCUUCUCUCUAAGUAUGUUUAGGGUUAAUAAUUAGGGUUCCUCCUCUCUUUUGUUCUGUCUUUAUAUCUCCUUCAUAGCUCUAAUGUAAGAGAUUUACCUCUUUUGGUGUUUUUGUUAAUCCACGUUCUCAUCAAAACUUUCUCAUUGUUUUAUGAAGAGUUAAAGGUCUUUACAGUUUGCUUAUGUCAGAUCC
rnacentral:misc_RNA from 1 species